AACGAGGCCGACCUGCGGCUGAGUUACCUGCGGAGGGAUCAUUAAAAAAACAUUUAAUGAAAUGUCGGGGCGUGUUUUUCGCGCGCUCCGAGUAUUCAACCAACCCCGCUCGUGUAUCUGAAUCAAACAAAAUUAAAUAAAUAAACUGAUAACAGUAAUUAAGAAAAAACUUUCAACAACGGAUCU
rnacentral:misc_RNA from 1 species